rnacentral:misc_RNA from 1 species
AACACAACCAACCUAAAGGGUUUGUCCGAAAGCCACCGCAAGUCUCUGGAGAUCCUUGGCGUAGAUGUCUGAUGGCUGGGAAGCUUGUUGAUGAUGGUGAUUGUGGUUCUGUUGCCAACUAGCACUUGACCCUUCUGUUAUGAAGUUUGUUUCUGGUUUAACCUCACUGUACAUAGGUUGAGAUGUUUGGUUCUGUAUUGCUGUUCCAAGAAGAAAUGGGGUACUCAGAUAUUCAGACCAUUUGAUGUCUUCUGGGUCGUUUUCGAGCGAGCGAAGUUGGGCUUCCUCACCGGGUUUUCCACAAUCCGCUAGCCCCCAAGAGAAGGUGUUGCUCUCAAAGAAGUUGUUGUUGUUUUGCAGUUCAAUACUACUACUGCUUCCAUGGCUGCUGCUGCCAUUGUUACUGAAGCUAACGGCUUCCCAAUUC